rnacentral:rRNA from 1 species
UACGUAGGGUGCAAGCGUUGUCCGGAAUUACUGGGCGUAAAGAGUUCGUAGGCGGUUUGUCGCGUCGUUUGUGAAAACCAGCAGCUCAACUGCUGGCUUGCAGGCGAUACGGGCAGACUUGAGUACUGCAGGGGAGACUGGAAUUCCUGGUGUAGCGGUGAAAUGCGCAGAUAUCGGGAGGAACACCCGUAGCGAAGGCGGCACUCUGGGCCGGUACUGACGCUGAGGAGCGAAAGCGUGGGGAGCAAACAGG